rnacentral:rRNA from 1 species
ACUGAGACACGGUCCAGACUCCUACGGGAGGCAGCAGUAGGGAGUAUUUGGCAAUGGGGGAAACCCUGACCGAGCAACGCCGCGUGUGCGAUGGAGUCCCUCAGGGACGUGAAGCACUGUGGGGGGCCGCCAAACGGGCGGGCAGGAAAUGGCCCGUCCCCGAGGAGCCCCCUAGAAAGCGACUGCUAACCACGUGCCAGCAGCAGCGGUAAUACGUGGGUCGCAAGCGUUAUCCGGAAUCAUUGGGCGUAAAGAGUGAGCAGGCGGUCCGGGAAGUCCGCGGUGAAAUGCGGGGGCUCAACCCCCGCAGGCCGCGGAUACUUCCGGUCUGGGGUGCGGGAGAGGCGGACGGAACUCCGCGUGUAGCGGUGAAAUGCACUGAUACGCGGAAGAACACCGGUGGCGAAGGCGGUCCGCCAGACCGAUACCGACGCUCAGUCACGAAAGCGUGGGGAGCAAAUAGGAUUAGAUACCCUAGUAGUCCACGCCGUAAACGAUGGGGGCCAGGGCGCGGGGUCGACCCGCGUCCGAAGCAAACGCAUUAAGCCCCCCGCCUGGGUACUACGUUCGCAAGAAUAAAACUUAAAGGAAUUGGCGGGUGCCCGCACAAGCAGUGGAGCAUGCGGUUCAAUUCGUGGCUACACGUAGAACCUUACCAGGGUUUGACAUGCCGGCAAAGGCCCCGGAGACGGGGAGAUAGCUAUGCCGGACAAAGGUGGUGCAUGGCUGUCGUCAGCUCGUGUCGUGAGAUGUUAGGUCAAGUCCUCCAACGAGCGCGACCCCCGCCGCCAGUUGCCAUCAUCGAGUUGGGCACUCUGGCGGGACCGCCGGCGACAAGCCGGAGGAAGGCGGGGAUGACGUCAAGUCAUCAUGCCCCUUAUGCCCUGGGCCACACGCGUGCUACAAUGGCCGGCACAGUGGGAAGCGACGCCGCGAGGCGGAGCGGAUCCCAAAAGCCGGUCCCAGUACGGACCGGGGGCUGCAACCCGCCCCCGCGAAGCUGGAAUUGCUAGUAAUCGCGGAUCAGCCAAGCCGCGGUGAAUGCGUUCUCGGGCAUUGCACACACUGCCCGUCACACCAUGAAAGCCUGCAACGCUCUAAGUCGCCAGCCCGACCCGCGAGGGGGGGCGGCGCCCAAGGCGGGGCCGGUGAUUGGGGUUAAGUCGAAACAAGGUAUCCCUACGAGAACGUGGGGAUG